rnacentral:rRNA from 1 species
UACGUAGGGACCGAGCGUUGUCCGGAUUCAUUGGGCGUAAAGAGCUUGUAGGCGGCUGUUCAAGUCGAACGUGAAAACCUCGGGGCUCAACUCCGAGCCUGCGUUUGAUACUGGAUGGCUAGAGGUCUGGUAGGGGGAUCUGGAAUUCCUGGUGUAGCGGUGGAAUGCGCAGAUAUCAGGAGGAACACCAAUUGCGAAGGCAGCUCGCUGGGACGUAACUGACGCUGAGACGCGAAAGCGUGGGGGAGCAAACAGG